UUGGGCUUGGAUUAGCGUUAUUUGCUUCAUAGAACAAAUCUAAGGAUAUCCUUUUUUUUUGUUCGUCACAAUUCACCUUCCCCUUCUCACUCUUCGUCUUCUUUACUAUCGUCGACAUUUGGUUUCUAGGGUUCAUGCAAGCUCUGAUUAGGUCAAACAGUAAAAGAGGAGGUGCAUUGAAUGAGGAUCUCCUCCUUGGUUUGUAUUCGCAGAUCCUUCAAAGGAUUUUUCGACAGUCACUCUGCGACCUAAUUACUUGCAAUUGUGUAGUUCAAUAACCUCACCGAGAAACUCUGUAUAUUCCCGAUAUGGUUGCUUCUGUCGGGAUGGUCAUGGAUGUUCCUACUCGCUAUCUCAUAGAUUGGGGAGCAGUUUGAUUUAACUUUGAUGACAAUGGUGGCGGCUGGUAUCAACAUGGGUGAAAGAGCUCCCUAGAAAGGAAAGGGUUCUAACUACCCGGAGAUUUUAACAUUUUAUUAGGAGAUGCAUCUAUGAGACGUGGUAAAAUACAUGCCGCAAUACACAUGGCUCGAAGAUGAGUUCCCAAAGGUUAACAUAGCAGAAACUCCAUGGUUCGUUCUCAAUCAUUCAUCAUGGCACAGCAUCUAUGAUUACCAUUAUAUGGAAGGUGAAACCAUGAGAGUGAUGUAUGAGGCGUGGUUUGUCAGUUACAAAGUAGAUGUUUCUCAGGUCAUGUCCACGCAUGCGAAAGAUCAGUAAGAACACAAAACUUUAGCUCAUCAUGUAUAUUUUUAAAUUAUAUAUUAUGACAUCUUUGACCUCUUGUGAAACCAAAAGACGCAUAUCAAACACCGUGGUUAAUAUCAUUUGCAGUCCACUAAAAGAUCCAUCUGUUCCUGCCUAUAUCACCAUUUGUGAUGGAGGAAACUUUGAAGGAUUGGCUACCAAGUAAGGAGUUGACUAACACAUGUAACAUGUAAUUCUAGGUCGGCUCUUUCUCAAUGCAAUCUCUCGAACUAAUUUUUAUUCUAGAGUAUUACAUUUUGUUUAACAUGCUUUUGUUUCAACGGUUUUGUUCUUACAUUUUUUCCACUGGAUGUUACACUACUAUA